GAUGAACGCUGGCGGCGUGCCUAAUACAUGCAAGUCGAGCGAACGGACGAGAAGCUUGCUUCUCUGAUGUUAGCGGCGGACGGGUGAGUAACACGUGGAUAACCUACCUAUAAGACUGGGAUAACUUCGGGAAACCGGAGCUAAUACCGGAUAAUAUUUUGAACCGCAUGGUUCAAAAGUGAAAGACGGUCUUGCUGUCACUUAUAGAUGGAUCCGCGCUGCAUUAGCUAGUUGGUAAGGUAACGGCUUACCAAGGCAACGAUGCAUAGCCGACCUGGGAGGGUGGUCGGCCACACUGGAACCGAGACCCGGUCCAGACUCCUACGGGAGGCAGCAGUAGGGAAUCUUCCGCAAUGGGAGAAAGCCUGACGGAGCAACGCCGCGUGAGUGAUGAAGGUCUUCGGAUCGUAAAACUCUGUUAUUAGGGAAGAACAUAUGUGUAAGUAACUGUGCACAUCUUGACGGUACCUAAUCAGAAAGCCACGGCUAACUACGUGC
rnacentral:rRNA from 1 species